UAAGACAUCGGCUGAGUAUGCCUUCACGACUGGUAUAUAUAUGUUCACUAUUCUUUGUUUUUUUGUCCCAGAUUUGCAUCCUUGGAUCCUAGUUUGAGUGGUAAAAGUGCAGAACCAGUAUAUCGUGAUGCAAAAGGGAAAGCUAUUUCAAAGGAAGAGCUACUGAAACCAAAGGAGGAAGAGAAACCAAAGG